rnacentral:rRNA from 1 species
UACGGGGGGGGCAAGCGUUGUUCGGAAUUACUGGGCGUAAAGGGCUUGUAGGUGGCCAACUAAGUCAGACGUGAAAUCCCCUCAGCUUAACUGGGGGAACUGCGUCUGAUACUGGAUGGCUUGAGUUUGGGAGAGGGACGCGGAAUUCCAGGUGUAGCGGUGAAAUGCGUAGAUAUCUGGAGGAACACCGGUGGCGAAGGCGGCGUCCUGGACCAACACUGACACUGAAAAGCGAAAGCCAGGGGAGCAAACGGG